GCGGGUGUAGUGUAGUGGUUAUCACUGGAGCUUCCCAAGCUCUAGACCCGGGUUCGAAUCCCGGCAUCCGCA
rfam:Thermoplasmatales archaeon A-plasma AMDT1_APLC00105, whole genome shotgun sequence.